AUGGGGAGCAACGAUCCUAGCACGCCGCCUAAGGCUUCGAAGCCACCAGAACAGGAGCAACCUCCAGCUACUACCUCUGGCACUACAGCUCCAGUUUACCCUGAAUGGCCCGGCUUUCAGGGCUACCCAGCGAUGCCACCACAUGGGUUUUUCCCCCCUCCUGUUGCUGCAGGCCAGGCUCAUCCAUACAUGUGGGGAGCUCAGCACAUGGUGCCACCUUACGGGACACCACCACCCCCCUAUAUGAUGUAUCCACCAGGAACAGUAUAUGCCCACCCGACUACUCCUGGUGUGCAUCCAUUUCAUUAUCCUAUGCAAACAAAUGGAAAUCUUGAACCUGCUGGAGCUCAGGGAGCUGCACCAGGUGCUGCAGAAACAAAUGGGAAAAAUGAGCCUGGCAAAACAUCUGGUCCAUCUGCCAAUGGGGUUACGUCCAACAGUGAAAGCGGAAGUGAUAGUGAGAGUGAAGGAAGUGAUGCCAAUUCUCAAAACGAUUCACAUUCAAAGGAGAAUGAUGUAAAUGAAAAUGGCAGUGCUCAGAAUGGCGUAUCUCAUUCAUCAUCGCAUGGAACAUUUAAUAAACCCAUGCCGUUGGUUCCAGUACAAUCAGGUGCAGUGAUAGGAGGAGUUGCUGGUCCUGCGACAAACUUGAACAUAGGGAUGGACUACUGGGGUGCAACUGGCUCUUCACCUGUUCCUGCAAUGCGCGGCAAAGCACCGUCUGGUUCAGCUCGAGGAGAGCAAUGGGAUGAAAGGGAACUGAAGAAGCAGAAGAGGAAGCUGUCCAACCGGGAAUCCGCGCGAAGGUCCCGGCUGCGCAAGCAGGCCGAGUGUGAAGAGCUCGGGCAGCGGGCUGAGGCUUUGAAGUCAGAGAACUCGUCCCUCAGGAUCGAGCUCGACCGGAUCAAAAAGGAAUACGAGGAGCUCCUUUCGAAGAACACCUCUCUCAAGGCCAAGCUAGGGGAGACCGGCGGUGGCGACUCGGUCCCCGACAUGAACGAACGGGGCGACACCAACGGCGGCAGCCACCACAAGGAGCCCUGA
rnacentral:rRNA from 1 species